CUGGCGGAAUGCAGGGGGAUGAGAAGUGGGGGUCUGUAACUAGGUACCACUGCUGCUGAAACUGACAUGAUUGAUUAUGUCAACUAGACUAAGAAAGGGCAAUAAAAAGAGCUGUAGGCCUUUGUUCAGGGGCAUUCAGGGACUAGUUCUUUGAGUGUCGCAGCUUUUGUUUGCAAAUAAAGGUUUAACUUGAAGAAUCUUCUGCGUCUCCUGGUCAAUCUCGAAUCUUGGUUUAAUCCACGACAAAUCUGGUGUAGUCGGCAGGAUCGGAAAGAGACCCCUAAGAAAAGAGCGACAAGUCAAGGACGCUUCCCGGUCCUUCGGGGACCCCCACAAGACUAGCAGAGUAAAGGGUGACGACCCAGAAAAAAGAAAGUCGAGACCCUGCAUCAGGACUGAGGGGGAAGAGAAAAGAUUGCUGAUGCCGUCCGACCUGACGGAUGUUUCCAGCACUUUCUGAUUCUUUCUCUAUUGUGAAAAUCCUUGAAAGCGUGAGGAACAGGAAAGGGAGGACAUCUAUUUCCCAACGUCACUGGGCAGGAACCAAAGCAGGACCAAGCACAGAGACAGGGGCACAGAUGUAGUAAGUGUACAAACUGGAGAGACCACGUGGAACAGAUUUGAGGAAAAGCCAUUAUCAUGGGAUUGUAGUGGAGCCAGAACAUACCAUAGGUGUGGGAAACACACCCCCAAUCUGUGGCAAACCAGAGCCCUGUGACAGAGAACAGGACAACCUCAAGAUCAAGACACACAAAAGAGUUGGAGCAGAGGGGAAAGCUGAUGCCAUGUAAUUGUAGGCAGAGAGGACAGUGUGAAGAAGGAUGCAGACAACAAGGCAAAAUGGGGUUAAAGAAAUGAUGUGAGAAGUCUGAAAAAGAACUGAAGUACAGCAAGAUAUCAGUGUGUGCAGAGGGUCAGGGAAGGGAAUGGAAUGCAGGGGAGCAAUUCAUAACAUGUCCAAAGGUCAAUGAGAUACCUCACAAAAUACCUCCCCUCAGAACUCUGAUGAAGCAGCAUAGAAUCAUAGAAUUAUACAGCAUGGAUACAGGCCCUUCAGCCCAACUCGUCCAUGCCAACCAAAUUACCUGUCUGAGCUAGUCCCACUUGCCUGCAUUUGGCCCAUGUCCUCCUAAACCUUUCCUAUCCAUGUACCUGUCCAAAUGUCUUUUAAACGUAACUGUACCCACCUCUACCAUUUCCUCUGGCAGCUCGUUCCAUAUCCCCACCACCCUCUGUGUGAAAUACUUGCCCUUCACAUUCCCUUUAAAUCUUUCCCCUCUCACAAACCCAUGCCCUCUGGUUUUAGACUCCCUGACCCUGGGGGGAAGACCGUGACCGUCCACCUUAUCUAUGCCUCUCACGAUUUUAUAAAGUCUAUAAGGUCACCCCUCAGCCUCCUACACUCCAGAGAAAAAAGCCCCAGCCCAUCGAAGCCCUCCAGUCCCAGUAACAUACUUGCAGAUCCUUUCUGCCCCCAUUCCAGCUGAAUGCCAUCCUUCCUGUUACCAGG